rnacentral:rRNA from 1 species
CCUACGUGAGGCAGCAGUGAGGAAUAUUGGUCAAUGGCCGGAAGGCUGAACCAGCCAAGCCGCGUGAGGGAGGAAGGCGCAGAGCGUCGCAGAACUCUUUUGCCGGGGGACAAAAGGCCGGACUCGUCCGGUCCUGAGGGUACCCGGGGAAAAAGCAUCGGCUAACUCCGUGCCAGCAGCCGCGGUAAUACGGAGGAUGCGAGCGUUAUCCGGAUUCAUUGGGUUUAAAGGGUGCGCAGUCGGGCCUUUAAGCCGGCGAUGAAGUCGAGGGGCUCAACCCCGCCGAGCCGUCGGAACUGGGGGCCUUGAGUUCACAACAGGCAGGCGGAAUUCGUGGUGUAGCGGUGAAAUGCAUAGAUAUCACGAGGAACCCCGAUUGCGAAGGCAGCCUGCCGGGGUGCGACUGACGCUGAGGCUCGAAGGUGCGGGUAUCAAACAGGAUUAGAUACCCUAGUAGUC